GCUCUUGGCCGGGAGGAGGCUGUGCUGCCCCAGCACCUUUUGCUCCACAUCUCCAGAGAGCCCAGUGAAGAAAACACCAAGGUCACCCUCUUUAUAGAUCAGAAAACAGAGGCCUGGAGAGGACCCACACCUUGCCCAAGGUCACAGGUUGGAGAGAGCAGAGCUGACCCUGGAGCCCGUGCACUUAACAUCUAUGUGGAUGGAAGACUCCAGGGUUACCUGAGACAACCUGGUUAAGGUAUAGACAGGUCUUCAGUCUGGCCCUUGUUCUGUUGGGGUUCUGGAGGACAUCCUGUGCCCUGGCCUCUCUGACCUUACUCCAUGCGGUGCUGAUGCAGUGACAGCAGUGACCCUCGCGGGUCCUGGGUGGGAUGAAAGGUCCCCGGAUAGUUCCCAGUUUCAUCUCCUCAUUUUCUCCAUCCUCCUGCUCCUUCUUAUUAAGAUCUGGAUGUUAACAUUGAUGGAUUAUGAAGCUGGGUGGGAUAUUUAAUUCAGCAGUUGGCGGUGUCCAGAUCCACAAUGGUCUCUAAAAGCUGAGAUGCUGCCCUGAGUUUAUCAGGAUGGCAUUUGGCAGAUUGGAGAUAAGUGCACCUGAACUGAGACACAUAGCUUCCCUCAUAUGGUAUUUAUGAAAAUGAAAUGAACAAGGGUGCAAGCACAGUCGAAUUAAGUCAGAGCUGGCAGGCGGAAGCCCUGUGUGCUCUGUGAAUGUGGCAGCUGCUGCUAGAUGCUGACAGGUGCAGAGGCAGGGCUGAGCCAGCGCCUCUGGGUGGCAGCCAUAUGUGGGGUGUGUGUGUGUGUGUGUGUGUGUGUGUGUGUGUGUGUGUGUGUUCCGUGAGAGAGUCCUGGAGGCAUAGCGCUCCAAGCUGAGGUGAGUUGUCACAUUCAUAGCAAUCAGGAUUCUUUGGAUGCAAACCACAGCGACGGACUCUGGCCAACUUUGUCAAGAAGGAAUUAAUUAGAAGGUUAUGGUGGCAAGUAGAUCACAGUGUCAGAGGGAGAACUGGAGAAAUAAGCUCAAAAAAGACCAGGAUUGAGCUAUUCAGAGAGUUCCAGUACCAGGCACACAUAAGCAGCUUCUCAAACUGAAACUGGGUUUGGUUAGGAAGGAUGCUGAGUAGCAUAAAACAGAACCAAGCCAUCUGACUGUUCUUGUCAUAGAGAUUGUGUAUUCCUCCUUUCCUGACAGCUGGUUUAAAAACCUGGGCAAAGGGGGACCCUGCAGUCCACCCCACUCUUCCUGAGAUGGCCUGUGGGGGCUGCAGAGAUAGAUCAGACACAGGCUGUCUCUUCCCCAUGAACCAACAGAAUAAAUGAAUGACUGUCUCCCCUAAGAGAUAUGGUCUGGCUCCCUGUGGCUAGACCAUGUGGUCUUACCCGUAAACAGUCCUCACACUCUCGAUUUACGUCUAACCCACUCUUGUCAAUGCCUGGCAUUGGUGUGUGCCGUUCUCUCUGCUCUCUCUUUUCUUUGUAUCUGUCUGCCUUUUGGAGGCCUCCUGCCUCUUCCAGGAGGGCCUCUCAUUAUUCUGGUGCCCAGAAUUAGAAAGUAUAUGGGGUACACGCUGUGGUGUGCUGGUAAGUGUUUAACAACUGGUUCUCAGCAUGUAGCUCCAACAUGAAUUUUGGGUGAUAUUUUCAUGUACAAUAAAGU
ensembl:lncRNA